rnacentral:rRNA from 1 species
AUUGAACGCUGGCGGCAUGCCUUACACAUGCAAGUCGAACGGUAACAGGUUAAGCUGACGAGUGGCGAACGGGUGAGUCAUGUAUCGGAACGUGCCCAGUCGUGGGGGAUAACUGCUCGAAAGAGCAGCUAAUACCGCAUACGACCUGAGGGUGAAAGCGGGGGAUCGCAAGACCUCGCGCGAUUGGAGCGGCCGAUAUCAGAUUAGGUAGUUGGUGAGGUAAAGGCUCACCAAGCCGACGAUCUGUAGCUGGUCUGAGAGGACGACCAGCCACACUGGGACUGAGACACGGCCCAGACUCCUACGGGAGGAAGCAGUGGGGAAUGUUGGACAAUGGGCGAAAGCAUGAUCCAGCCAAGCCGCGUGCGGGAAGAAGGACUUCGGGUUGUAAACCGCUUUUGUCAGGGAAGAAAAGGUUCUGGCUAAUACCUGGGACUCAUGACGGUACCUGAAGAAUAAGCACCGGCUAACUACGUG